GACGAACGCUGGCGGCGUGCUUAACACAUGCAAGUCGAACGGAAAGGCCCUGCUUUUGUGGGGUGCUCGAGUGGCGAACGGGUGAGUAACACGUGAGUAACCUGCCCUUGACUUUGGGAUAACUUCAGGAAACUGGGGCUAAUACCGGAUAGGAGCUCCUGCUGCAUGGUGGGGGUUGGAAAGUUUCGGCGGUUGGGGAUGGACUCGCGGCUUAUCAGCUUGUUGGUGGGGUAGUGGCUUACCAAGGCUUUGACGGGUAGCCGGCCUGAGAGGGUGACCGGCCACAUUGGGACUGAGAUACGGCACAGACUCCUACGGGAGGCAGCAGUGGCGAAUAUUGCACAAUGGGCGGAAGCCUGAUGCAGCAACGCCGCGUGCGGGAUGACGGCCUUCGGGUUGUAAACCGCUUUCGCCUGUGACGAAGCGUGAGUGACGGUAAUGGGUAAAGAAGCACCGGCUAACUACGUG
rnacentral:rRNA from 1 species